rnacentral:rRNA from 1 species
GACGGAGGAUGCAAGUGUUAUCCGGAAUCACUGGGCGUAAAGCGUCUGUAGGUGGUUUAAAAAGUCCACUGUUAAAAAUUGAAGCUUAACUUCAAAGAUGCCGUGGAAACUUUUAAACUUGAGUAUGGUAGGGGUAGAGGGAAUUUCCAGUGGAGCGGUGAAAUGCGUAGAUAUUGGAAAGACCACCAAUGGCGAAGGCACUCUACUGGGCCAUUACUGACACUGAGGCACGAAAGCUAGGGGAGCAAACAGG